rfam:halophilic archaeon J07HX64 genomic scaffold scf_7180000098875, whole genome shotgun sequence.
UCCGGGCUGGGGUAAUGGCAUCCUUUGGGCCUGUGGCGCCCAAGACGCGGGUUCGAUCCCCGCGCCCGGAC